rnacentral:sRNA from 1 species
AGGCCAAUAUGGCUUCCUGCACCUGGUGACGCUUGGCGAAACUGAGGUCUCAUGGAGAAGCCCCCGAGUAUUGAGGAGACCCCAUCUUCAGAACCAAUGGAAGAAGAGGAAGAUGAUGACUUGGAGCUGUUUGGUGGCUAUGAUAGUUUCCGGAGUUAUAACAGCAGUGUGGGCAGUGAGAGCAGCUCCUAUCUGGAGGAGUCAAGUGAAGCAGAAAAUGAGGAUCGGGAAGCAGGGGAACUGCCGACCUCCCCGCUGCAUUUGCUCAGCCCCGGGACUCCUCGCUCCUUGGAUGGCAGUGGUUCUGAGCCAGCUGUCUGUGAGAUGUGUGGUAUCGUGGGUACAAGGGAAGCCUUCUUCUCCAAGACCAAGAGGUUCUGCAGCGUCUCCUGCUCCAGGAGCUACUCCUCCAAUUCCAAGAAAGCCAGUAUCUUGGCUAGAUUACAGGGAAAACCACCGACCAAAAAAGCCAAAGUCCUGCACAAAGCUGCCUGGUCUGCCAAAAUUGGAGCCUUCCUCCACUCCCAAGGGACAGGACAGCUGGCAGAUGGGACACCAACAGGACAAGACGCUCUGGUCUUGGGCUUCGACUGGGGGAAGUUCCUGAAGGAUCACAGUUACAAGGCUGCUCCCGUCAGCUGUUUCAAGCACGUCCCACUCUAUGACCAGUGGGAGGAUGUGAUGAAAGGGAUGAAGGUGGAGGUGCUCAACAGUGAUGCUGUGCUCCCCAGCCGGGUGUACUGGAUCGCCUCUGUCAUCCAGACAGCAGGGUAUCGGGUGCUGCUUCGGUACGAAGGCUUUGAAAAUGACGCCAGCCAUGACUUCUGGUGCAACCUGGGAACUGUGGAUGUCCACCCCAUUGGCUGGUGUGCCAUCAACAGCAAGAUCCUAGUGCCCCCACGGACCAUCCAUGCCAAGUUCACCGACUGGAAGGGCUACCUCAUGAAACGGCUGGUCGGCUCCAGGACGCUUCCCGUGGACUUCCACAUCAAGAUGGUGGAGAGCAUGAAGUACCCCUUUAGGCAGGGCAUGCGGUUGGAAGUGGUGGACAAGUCCCAGGUGUCACGCACUCGCAUGGCUGUGGUGGACACAGUAAUCGGGGGUCGCCUACGGCUCCUCUACGAGGAUGGUGACAGUGACGACGACUUCUGGUGCCACAUGUGGAGCCCCCUGAUCCACCCAGUGGGUUGGUCACGACGUGUGGGCCACGGCAUCAAGAUGUCAGAGAGGCGAAGUGACAUGGCCCAUCACCCCACCUUCCGGAAGAUCUACUGUGAUGCCGUUCCUUACCUCUUCAAGAAGGUACGAGCAGUCUACACAGAAGGCGGUUGGUUUGAGGAAGGGAUGAAGCUGGAGGCCAUUGACCCCCUGAAUCUGGGCAACAUCUGCGUGGCAACUGUCUGUAAGGUUCUCCUGGAUGGAUACCUGAUGAUCUGUGUGGACGGGGGGCCCUCCACAGAUGGCUCAGACUGGUUCUGCUACCACGCCUCUUCCCACGCCAUCUUCCCAGCCACCUUCUGUCAGAAGAAUGACAUUGAGCUCACACCCCCAAAAGGUUAUGAGGCACAGACUUUCAACUGGGAGAACUACUUGGAGAAGACCAAGUCGAAAGCCGCUCCAUCGAGACUCUUUAACAUGGAUUGCCCAAACCAUGGCUUCAAGGUGGGCAUGAAGCUGGAGGCCGUGGACCUGAUGGAGCCCCGGCUCAUCUGUGUGGCCACGGUGAAACGAGUGGUGCAUCGGCUCCUCAGCAUCCACUUUGACGGCUGGGACAGCGAGUACGACCAGUGGGUGGACUGCGAGUCCCCGGACAUCUACCCCGUCGGCUGGUGUGAGCUCACUGGCUACCAGCUCCAGCCUCCUGUGGCCGCAGGUGUGGGCUCUCAUGGCCCUAAGAGGCUCUGACUUUCUUUCCUCUUCUUUUUUCAUUCUUCCCCCGCCCCUGUGCCCAUCUCCGUUCUUUGGCAUGAGAUGGAGAUGUCUCAUGGACCACUCUAAGUAGAGAGUGAGCCCCGUCACCCAGCCCCUGCUCCUGACUUCUCUGUCUCCCUUUCCCUCUGGCCUGCAGAGCUCCUUCCUUAUCUUGCCCACUCUGUUAUAUGUUCGUGCCCUUGUGCACCCAGGUAAACUACCCAGGUCCCUCUGAGCAGCCCUGGUGACAAGGGUGGGAAGAAGGGACAGCUGUUCUCCAGCUCCUCCUCCAGCCCCGCCCUCUCCUCAUUGCCCAGCUUUGGCUUCCUGUCUUGGGGUGUCCCGUGUGGGAGGGUGGACGGGGUCUCCGGAUGCGCCUGUGCCCUGUGUCCUCCCAGGGACCCUCUUCUCAUCUCUUUCACCCUUGUCUUUCAACAACAGAACCGGCCACACCGCUGAAGGCCAAAGAGGCCACAAAGAAGAAAAAGAAACAGUUUGGGAAGAAAAGGAAAAGAAUCCCGCCCACCAAGACGCGACCCCUCAGACAGGGGUCCAAGAAGCCCCUGCUGGAGGAUGACCCUCAGGGUGCCAGGAAGAUCUCGUCGGAGCCCGUUCGUGGCGACAUCAUUGCUGUGCGUGUGAAGGAAGAGCAUCUAGACGUGCCCUCGCCCAACAAGGCUUCAAGUCCAGAGCUGCCUGUCUCCGUUGAGAACAUCAAGCAGGAAACUGACGACUGAGCCUUCCUGCCGGCAGCCUGGCUUCUAGCUGGAAGCCAGCCCAGGGUUUCUCUACCACCACCACCACGCCUCCAACUGACUUUGGCUUGGAGACUGAUCCUCUGUGUGUAAAUUCUGCCCGGUGCUGUGAAGGCUGGACGGUGGAGGACCUGCCUGUUGCCUCUGCCCUCCCCUGUGGAAAGGCCUAUGUGAAGGGCUGCCUGAGGCCCCCGAACUCGUCUGUGAACCACCUUCUCCAGCCAGAGUUCCCAAAGCUGGAACACUAGCUGCCUGCUCUUCCUUGAGACGGCCUCCCUGCCGACCCGCCACGGCCCUCAGUUGCCAGGGAUGGGGCCACCCUUGUCACACUGUGGAAGACAAGACAGUGAACUCUGUCUACCCGAA